GCACUCCCGGGGCGCCUCUAUCUCAUUGCGAGGAGAGGUGCACCUAGAGCGGACACGCUGAUACCCGAAAGAUGGUGAACUAUGCCUGGCCAGGAUGAAGCCAGGGGAAACCCUGGUGGAGGUCCGCAGCGAUUCUGACGUGCAAAUCGAUCGUCGGAGCUGGGUUUAGGGGCGAAAGACCAAUCGAACCAUCUAGUAGCUGGUUCCCUCUGAAGUUUCCCGCAGGAUAGCUUGCGCUCGGAUGGAAAGAGUCUCAUCCGGUAGAGCGAAUGAUUAGAGGCCUUGGGGUCGAAACGACCUCAACCUAUUCUCAAACUCCAAAUGGGUGAGAACCCCGGCUUUCUUGGAUUAUCAUUUCACUGAAGCCGGGGGCUCGGAUCAGAGUGCCAAGUGGGCCAAUUUUGGUAAGCAGAACUGGCGCUGUGGGAUGAACCAAACGCGGAGUUAAGGCGCCUCAAUCGACGCUCAUCCGAAACCAUGAAAGGCGUUGGUUGCUUAAGACAGCAG
rnacentral:rRNA from 1 species